GGUUUGCAUUUCAUCUUUUCUUUUCGUCGUCGGUGUUCGGCUUCGUUGCUUCGCAGGAGGUGUAGAGAUUGCACGCGUCGGUACUUAGGCUCCUUCGUGGUUGUUCGACUUCACUCCUUCGACGACUUUCCCUUCCUGUCGGAUCGGAAGUUAGGACAUUUUGAUCGGAAGCAACAACGGUGCUCGCUGGCCGUGAAGAAGAUGGAAGUAGAUAGAAAUAACAUCGACAACGAGAUUAAGAAGGCGCAGGAGGAGCGGCGGAAUAUGGAGAACUUGGCACCUUUAGCCUCCGUGACCUUCGACUCCGAUCUCUACGAGGAAAAUCGCUUCGAGGGCUACGCACGAUCCAUUCCUGUGAAUGAGGACGAGGACGAAGCGGACGGGGAUGCUUCGCUUAUUGGCCGCCGCCGCAUGCCAUCCUAUACGGCUCCCAAGUCGCUGAUAGAUGUCCCUCGGGCGGAUGGUGAGGACGACUCAGGGUUCAAGAAGCCCUCCCGAAUCAUUGACCGUGAGGAUGAGUAUCGCCGCCGACGACUCGAUCGUAUCAUAUCCCCUGCACGUAACGACCCUUUUGCCUCAGGCGAGGCCACCCCUGACCCAUCGGUAAGGACUUAUGCUGACGUCAUGAGAGAACAAGCCCUCCAACGCCAGAAGGAAGAGUUGCUCAAAGCUGCUGCAAAGAAACAUGAGGAGGAGAAAAACAACAAGGCUGCUGCCGCUGAUGCUCCUCCGGCAGCUGCUGCCCAAAAGAGGAGGAACAGGUGGGAUCAGUCGCAGGAUUCUGACGGCGCUUCUGCUGUGAAGAAGUUAAAAUCAAGCUCUGAUUGGGAUGCACCAGAUUCAACUCCUGGGAUUGGGAGGUGGGAUGCGACUCCAACUCCUGGAAGAGUUGGAGAUGCAACCCCUUCAAUUUCUCGCCGGAACCGGUGGGAUGAGACUCCGACUCCUGGGCGGCUUGCAGAUUCUGAUGCCACUCCAGCUGCUGCCACCCCUGGUGCAACUCCAGCUGGGAUGACUUGGGAUGCUACGCCAAAGCUUGGUGGGCUAGCUACCCCUACUCCCAAACGGCAAAGAUCAAGAUGGGAUGAGACACCAGCUACCAUGGGAAGUGCCACCCCACUGCCAGGUGCUGCAACUCCAGCUGCAGCCUUCACUCCUGGAGUCACUCCCAUUGGCGGGGUUGAUUUAGCAACUCCAACUCCUGGAGCUAUCAAUCUUCGGGGUCCUAUGACACCAGAACAGUAUAAUUUGCUGAGGUGGGAGAGGGAUAUUGAAGAGAGGAACAGACCUUUGACUGAUGAAGAGCUUGAUGCAAUGUUUCCUCAGGAGGGUUACAAGAUCCUUGAACCCCCAGCUUCUUAUGUUCCUAUCAGGACUCCAGCAAGGAAGCUUCUUGCUACUCCAACUCCUAUUGGCACACCACUUUAUUCUAUCCCUGAAGAGAAUCGGGGGCAGCAGUUUGAUGUUCCCAAGGAGGCACCUGGUGGGUUGCCGUUCAUGAAGCCAGAGGAUUAUCAGUACUUUGGUGCUCUUUUGAAUGAGGAGGAAGAGGAGGAACUGUCACCUGAGGAGCAGAAGGAGAGGAAGAUUAUGAAGCUUUUGCUAAAGGUGAAGAAUGGUACUCCUCCCCAAAGGAAAACUGCAUUGAGGCAACUUACUGAUAAGGCUAGGGAAUUUGGAGCAGGUCCUCUCUUCAACAAAAUCCUGCCUUUGCUUAUGCAACCUACUCUUGAAGACCAAGAGAGGCAUCUCUUGGUGAAGGUUAUUGACAGGGUGUUGUAUAAGUUGGAUGAGUUGGUUCGCCCCUUUGUGCACAAGAUUCUUGUGGUUAUAGAGCCUUUACUGAUUGAUGAGGACUAUUAUGCUCGUGUUGAAGGAAGAGAGAUCAUUUCUAAUCUAAGCAAAGCUGCUGGCUUGGCUACUAUGAUUGCAGCAAUGAGGCCUGAUAUUGAUAACAUUGAUGAAUAUGUGAGGAAUACUACUGCAAGGGCUUUCAGUGUGGUGGCUUCUGCAUUGGGAAUUCCUGCUCUGUUGCCUUUUUUGAAGGCUGUCUGUCAAAGUAAAAAAUCGUGGCAAGCACGACACACUGGCAUUAAAAUUGUGCAACAGAUUGCAAUUCUUAUGGGAUGUGCGGUUCUUCCACACCUAAGGUCUUUGGUUGAAAUCAUUGAACAUGGGCUGAGUGAUGAGAAUCAGAAGGUCAGAACAAUUACUGCCCUGUCUCUUGCAGCAUUGGCAGAAGCGGCUGCUCCUUAUGGUAUAGAGAGUUUUGAUUCAGUUCUAAAGCCACUUUGGAAGGGCAUUCGUUCACACCGUGGGAAGGUUCUAGCUGCCUUUUUGAAGGCAAUUGGCUUCAUUAUUCCCCUUAUGGAUGCACUAUAUGCAAGUUACUACACAAAGGAAGUGAUGGUCAUUCUUAUUCGUGAGUUCCAAUCUCCUGAUGAAGAAAUGAAGAAGAUUGUGCUCAAAGUUGUCAAGCAGUGUGUGAGUACUGAAGGUGUUGAAGCUGAUUACAUACGAAAUGAUAUUCUUCCAGAGUUCUUCAGAAAUUUCUGGGUAAGGAGAAUGGCUUUGGAUCGAAGAAACUACAAACAGCUUGUGGAUACUACAGUCGAAAUUGCAAAUAAGGUUGGGGUGGCAGAUAUUGUUGGAAGGGUGGUCGAAGACCUUAAAGAUGAGAGUGAGCCCUACCGGAGAAUGGUUAUGGAGACAAUUGAGAAAGUGGUAUCCAAUUUGGGGGCUUCUGAUAUUGAUGCCCGCUUGGAAGAGCUGCUCAUCGAUGGGAUUCUUUAUGCAUUCCAAGAACAGACAAGUGAUGAUGCAAAUGUCAUGCUCAAUGGAUUUGGUGCAGUGGUGAAUGCUCUUGGUCAGAGAGUGAAGCCUUACCUUCCUCAGAUAUGUGGAACAAUUAAAUGGCGAUUGAACAACAAAAGUGCGAAAGUAAGGCAGCAAGCAGCUGACCUAAUAUCACGGAUUGCAGUUGUCAUGAAACAGUGUCAUGAAGAGCAGUUGAUGGGUCAUUUAGGUGUUGUGCUAUAUGAGUAUCUUGGAGAAGAGUACCCUGAGGUUUUAGGCUCUAUUUUGGGAGCACUAAAGGCAAUAGUCAAUGUUAUAGGUAUGACGAAGAUGACCCCUCCUAUCAAAGACUUGCUUCCUCGGCUGACUCCUAUUCUGAAGAACAGACAUGAGAAGGUCCAGGAAAACUGUAUUGAUCUUGUUGGUCGGAUUGCUGAUCGUGGGGCUGAGUUUGUCCCAGCUAGAGAGUGGAUGAGGAUUUGUUUUGAGCUGCUUGAUAUGUUAAAGGCUCAUAAGAAAGGCAUUAGGAGAGCUACUGUGAACACCUUUGGGUACAUUGCAAAAGCUAUUGGACCACAAGAUGUUUUGGCAACUUUAUUAAACAAUUUGAAAGUGCAGGAGCGUCAAAAUCGGGUUUGCACAACAGUUGCGAUUGCUAUAGUUGCUGAAACCUGCUCCCCAUUCACUGUUCUCCCUGCUCUUAUGAAUGAAUACCGUGUUCCAGAAUUGAAUGUACAGAAUGGCGUUUUAAAAUCUCUUUCCUUUCUUUUUGAGUACAUUGGAGAGAUGGGGAAGGAUUAUAUUUAUGCUGUGACACCAUUACUGGAAGAUGCUUUGAUGGACAGGGAUCUGGUUCAUAGACAGACUGCUGCUUCAGCUGUCAAGCACAUGGCUUUGGGUGUUGCUGGCUUGGGUUGUGAGGAUGCUUUGGUCCAUCUGUUGAACUAUGUGUGGCCAAAUAUAUUUGAAACUUCUCCCCAUGUCAUAAAUGCAGUAAUGGAGGCUAUUGAAGGAAUGAGAGUUGCCUUAGGAGCUGCUGUUGUCCUGAAUUACUGCCUCCAAGGCUUGUUCCAUCCAGCAAGAAAGGUCCGUGAGGUUUAUUGGAAAAUUUAUAACUCUUUGUAUAUUGGAGCUCAGGAUACACUUGUUGCUGCUUACCCUGUGUUGGAGGAUGAGGAGAGCAAUGUCUACAGCAGGCCUGAAUUGAUGAUGUUUGUCUGACACAUUAAUGCUUGCAUGUGCUUAUGCUUGAGAUGAACUUUGUUCCAUCUUUUUGCUGGUAUGACUGGGCUUUUUCGCUCUCUUUCAUUUGCUGCAUUUGGCGGCGGAGGAUGCAUUAGAGAUCACGCUGCCCUUGUGUAAUAUGUUCUCGCUUCAAAUCUUGGAUUUUAAAUUGCAACUCUGGUGCUCUCUUCCAUAUAGACUGUUCACUGUCUUUGGUUCUUUUGAAGCUUAGUUUUGUUAUUUUUUAUCAAUAUGAUGUACAGACUUUCUGCAACUCAGAUGAAUUAUCAACACGCUUUUACAGAAUAUAUUAAUGGAUGUUUUGUGAUAAUCAUUA